AUACGUAGGUGGCAAGCGUUGUCCGGAAUUACUGGGUGUAAAGGGAGCGUAGGCGGGGAGGUCAAGUCAGGCGUUAAAUCCAUCGGCUCAACCGAUGGCCGCGCUUGAAACUGCAUCUCUUGAGUGAAGUAGAGGUUGGCGGAAUUCCUAGUGUAGCGGUGAAAUGCGUAGAUAUUAGGAGGAACACCAGUGGCGAAGGCGGCCAGCUGGGCUUUUACUGACGCUGAGGCUCGAAAGUAUGGGUAGC
rnacentral:rRNA from 1 species